rnacentral:rRNA from 1 species
CCUACGGGCGGCAGCAGUGAGGAAUAUUGGUCAAUGGACGAGAGUCUGAACCAGCCAAGUAGCGUGAAGGAUGACUGCCCUAUGGGUUGUAAACUUCUUUUAUAUGGGAAUAAAAUGUUCCACGUGUGGGAUUUUGUAUGUACCAUAUGAAUAAGGAUCGGCUAACUCCGUGCCAGCAGCCGCGGUAAUACGGAGGAGCCGAGCGUUAUCCGGAUUUAUUGGGUUUAAAGGGAGCGUAGGUGGAUUGUUAAGUCAGUUGUGAAAGUUUGCGGCUCAACCGUAAAAUUGCAGUUGAAACUGGCAGUCUUGAGUACAGUAGAGGUGGGCGGAAUUCGUGGUGUAGCGGUGAAAUGCUUAGAUAUCACGAAGAACUCCGAUUGCGAAGGCAGUUCACUGGACUGCAACUGACACUGAGGCUCGAAAGUGUGGGUAUCAAACAGGAUUAGAUACCCCAGUAGUC